GGAGAGGUGGCCGAGUGGUUUAAGGCGGCGGUCUUGAAAACCGUUGAGCGUUUGCGCGUUCCGGGGGUUCGAAUCCCUCCCUCUCCGCCA
rnacentral:tRNA from 1 species